rnacentral:rRNA from 1 species
CCUACGGGUGGCAGCAGUGGGGAAUAUUGCACAAUGGGGGAAACCCUGAUGCAGCGACGCCGCGUGGGUGAAGGAGUAUUUCGGUAUGUAAAGCUCUAUCAGCAGGGAAGAAACCCACCCUCCGGGGUGGCUGACGGUACCUGACUAAGAAGCCCCGGCUAACUGCGUGCCAGCAGCCGCGGUAAUACGUAGGGGGCAAGCGUUAUCCGGGUUUACUGGGUGGAAAGGGAGCGUAGGUGGCAAGGCAAGGCGGAUGUGAAAACCCGGGGCCCAACCCCGGGAGUGCACUUGAAACUGUCGGGCUAGAGUGCAGGAGAGGUAAGUGGAAUUCCUAGUGUAGCGGUGAAAUGCAUAGAUAUUAGGAGGAACACCAGCGGCGAAGGCGGCUUACUGGACUGUAACUGACACUGAGGCUCGAAAGCGUGGGGAGCAAACAGGAUUAGAUACCCUUGUAGUC